rnacentral:tRNA from 1 species
GGAGUGGUACUCAAGUGGCUGAAGAGGACGGUUUGCUAAAUCGUUAGGGGGGUUAAACCUCGCCUGGGUUCAAAUCCCAGCCACUCCGCCA